GUUAAACUGCUACACGCACACAAGUUUCGGCCUUGUUUUAGAGGAAACCUCGUUUAAUUU
rnacentral:tRNA from 1 species